rnacentral:rRNA from 1 species
AACGAACGCUGGCGGCAGGCCUAACACAUGCAAGUCGAACGCCCCGGCAACAGGGAGUGGCAGACGGGUGAGUAACGCGUGGGAAUCUACCUUGUGGUACGGAACAACCAAGGGAAACUUUGGCUAAUACCGUAUGAGCCCUUCGGGGGAAAGAUUUAUCGCCAUAAGAUGAGCCCGCGUAGGAUUAGCUAGUUGGUGAG